GAGGAAGAGCGCCGCAGCCUCGGCAGCUGGAGUCGGAGCAGGGGGGGAUGGUUUCAAAAAAUAAUUAAAAAUCGAGGAAAUAUCCUAGAAAAGCCCUUUUGGCGUGAAAACCCCAAAGAAGAGCCAGGCUUCCCGAAACAGAGGUUUCGGGUGCCAGAAAGAAGAAUCUACCAUAAAACCAACAGACUCCUCCUGAUCUCUACCUGUGCUGUCUGCCUCUCUAGUUCCGGACACUGAGAGCUGGUGCCCUGUGGCCACCUCAAGCUGGAACCCUGCAAGAUCACCAAGAAGACUGCAUGCCUCGCUCUAGCCUUCCUAAGGGAAAGUAGACUCCUGUUUUUGAGAGAAAUUACCUGAUUUCAAGAGAAACAUAAAGGACUUUUUUUCCCUUAACAUUCCACUCGUAAAAAUGAAGUUUGGAAGAACUUCUGCAAACUCUGAGUGUUUUGGUCAAUUGACCUUUUACUGUACUAAGCAAAUCUGAAGCCACAAAUACAUUGGGGAGGAAGGUAUACCCUUCACAAAAGAUCCGUCACUUAGCCAGAUACUCUGUUGCCAUGCUUCUUUAAAUAAAGCACAUUUCUGGUAUAUUUUAUUUAUUUAUUUUUAUUUUUUAGAGUUGGGGUCUUGCUCUGUUGCUCAGGCUAGAAUGCAGUGAUAUGAUCAGAGCUUAUUACAGCCUUGAACUCCUGGGCUCAAGUAAUCUGCCUGCCUCAGCCUCACAAUUCAUUGGGAUUACAAGCAUGAGCCACCGUGCCUGGCUCUUUUCCUGGUAUAUUUUAAAUUGUUUCAUUUCCUUGAAAGUGAGAUUUAUCUAUUACUUUCAGAAAAUCUGGCAGGAUAUACCUGAUUGCUUGAGAUCCCUAAAAAUCGUAUUACAUUAACAUUGAAAGGGGCAUUUGAGUCUCACAUUCUCACUUGAAAGAUGAAGAAACUGUGGCUUGGAGAGGUGAAGUGACUUGUCUUCAUCACACAGUCUUGUGCGUAGCAGGCUGCCCAGUGUCCAGCUUUGUCCCGUUACUGUGCAUCUUCCUUGCAUCCAAAGUAUACAGGGAAGCUGACCCUCCCAGUCAGGCCUCUCCACCUGGUCCUCAGCUGCCGUCACAGAUGUUUAAUCAUUGAUCCCUCUUUUGGAUUUCAUUGUUAUUGCGUUUUCCUUUUAUUAUGGAAACGUUUCAAACAUAAAAGUAGAUCAUAUAAAUAACUGCCACGCCCCCUCACCCAGCCUCUGCAAUUAUUAGCACGUGGCCAAUGUGUUUUUCUCUAUACCUGACCCCCGUUCCCCUCCACCCAGAUGACCUUAAGGCAAAUCCAAACAUCGUGUCAUUUCAUCUGUGAGUGCUCCGUGUGUGACAGGGUGUGACCCCUCUCCUA
rnacentral:lncRNA from 1 species